GUAAGGCUAGCGAUAGCUUGAGCUGACUGGUACUAAUAAGCCGUGCGGCUUGACCAUAU
rnacentral:rRNA from 1 species